rnacentral:rRNA from 1 species
GAUGAACGCUGGCGGCGUGCCUAAUACAUGCAAGUCGAGCGAACAGAUAAGGAGCUUGCUCCUUUGACGUUAGCGGCGGACGGGUGAGUAACACGUGGGUAACCUACCUAUAAGACUGGGAUAACUUCGGGAAACCGGAGCUAAUACCGGAUAACAUUUGGAACCGCAUGGUUCUAAAGUGAAAGAUGGUUUUGCUAUCACUUAUAGAUGGACCCGCGCCGUAUUAGCUAGUUGGUAAGGUAACGGCUUACCAAGGCGACGAUACGUAGCCGACCUGAGAGGGUGAUCGGCCACACUGGAACUGAGACACGGUCCAGACUCCUACGGGAGGCAGCAGUAGGGAAUCUUCCGCAAUGGGCGAAAGCCUGACGGAGCAGCGCCGCGUGAGUGAUGAAGGGUUUCGGCUCGUAAAACUCUGUUAUUAGGGAAGAACAAAUGUGUAAGUAACUGUGCACGUCUUGACGGUACCUAAUCAGAAAGCCACGGCUAACUACGUG